GCAUCCAUGGGGCUGAUCCUGACCCUAUAGAGCCCAUGGGGGGGGACUGUCCCUAUAGCAUCCAUGGGGCCGAUCCUGACCCUAUAGAGCCCAUGGGGAGCCCUGGCCCUAUAGGAUCCAUGGGGCUGAUCCUGACCCUAUAGAGCCCAUGGGGACCCCUGGCCCUAUAGGAUCCAUGGGGGCCGAUCCUGACCCUAUAGGCCCCGGGGGGUUGGGGGGCAGAGGGUCACUAUAGAUGCCAUAGGGGCCCUAUAUGUUCGGGGGGAACCUAUAACCCCCUCCGCCCCCCAUCUAUGGGUCGUAUGUGGGGCGGAGUGGCUCCAAUAAAGGCUGUGAGG
rnacentral:lncRNA from 7 species